rnacentral:piRNA from 1 species
UCAACACAUCGUUUUCUGCCCUGCCUU